rnacentral:rRNA from 1 species
GGGAUAGCCUUUCGAAAGAAAGAUUAAUACCCGAUGGCAUAGUUCUUCCGCAUGGUAGAACUAUUAAAGAAUUUCGGUCAUCGAUGGGGAUGCGUUCCAUUAGGUUGUUGGCGGGGUAACGGCCCACCAAGCCUUCGAUGGAUAGGGGUUCUGAGAGGAAGGUCCCCCACAUUGGAACUGAGACACGGUCCAAACUCCUACGGGAGGCAGCAGUGAGGAAUAUUGGUCAAUGGACGAGAGUCUGAACCAGCCAAGUAGCGUGAAGGAUGACUGCCCUAUGGGUUGUAAACUUCUUUUAUACGGGAAUAAAGUGAGGCACGUGUGCCUUUUUGUAUGUACCGUAUGAAUAAGGAUCGGCUAACUCCGUGCCAGCAGCCGCGGUAAUACGGAGGAUCCGAGCGUUAUCCGGAUUUAUUGGGUUUAAAGGGAGCGUAGGCGGACGCUUAAGUCAGUUGUGAAAGUUUGCGGCUCAACCGUAAAAUUGCAGUUGAUACUGGGUGUCUUGAGUACAGUAGAGGCAGGCGGAAUUCGUGGUGUAGCGGUGAAAUGCUUAGAUAUCACGAAGAACUCCGAUUGCGAAGGCAGCCUGCUGGACUGUAACUGACGCUGAUGCUCGAAAGUGUGGGUAUCAAACAGGAUUAGAUACCCUGGUAGUCCACACAGUAAACGAUGAAUACUCGCUGUUUGCGAUAUACAGUAAGCGGCCAAG